AACCAGCACCUCAAGUGGUCAGGAGGAUUAUUGGGCCUAAAGCAUCCGUAGCCUGUUCUAUAAGUUUGCGGUUAAAUCUAUACGCUUAACGUAUAGGCUGCUGUAAAUACUGUAGAACUAGGGAGUGGGAGAGGUAGACGGUACUCGGUAGGAAGGGGUAAAAUCCUGUCAUCCUGAGCGGACCACCUGUUGCGAAGGCGCCACACUAGAACGGAUCCGACGGUCAGGGACGAAGCCUAGGGGCACGAACCGG
rnacentral:rRNA from 1 species